CAAAGAUUUAUCGCCCAAGGAUGAGCCCGCGUAGGAUUAGGUAGUUGGUGGGGUAAUGGCCCACCAAGCCGACGAUCCUUAGCUGGUCUGAGAGGAUGAUCAGCCACACUGGGGACUGAGACACGGCCCAGACUCCUACGGGAGGGCAGCAGUGGGGAAUCUUAGACAAUGGGGGAAACCCUGAUCUAGCCAUGCCGCGUGAUCGAUGAAGGCCUUAGGGUUGUAAAGAUCUUUCAGAUGGGAAGAUAAUGACGGUACCAUCAGAAGAAAGCCCCCGGCUAACUCCGUGCCAGCGCCGCGGUAA
rnacentral:rRNA from 1 species